AAAUAGCCAGUGCCAGUGGUUUAAAACGUUUCCAAUUCGUGUUGUCCAUUGUACAAACCACAUUGAUCUGAAGGAGAAUGCUGGGUUAGGGGUGACACAUGUCUCAACUAGAAGUCUUUUUUCAGUGGGUUAGGGGUAACUGCAUAAAACACGACACAUCCCUUUUUAGUUUUUUUUUUUUUUUUUUUCCCCAAAAUAAUGUAUAGGGUUUACAGGAAAUACAACCAGUUUUAUAUACUGUAUAAUCGUAAAUAACUUUUACAUCUCAGUGUACAUGUAGAAAAAUAAAAUAAAAAAAUCAACACAGUAAAGCAUUACAAUAUUCUUUUUAUGUCUCUAUGCUAGUCAUGCUUGGUAAGUAAAUUUGUCAGGCAAUCUACUUUAAUCUUGGAAAGUUUGUCUCAUUUAAAUGAAAAUGAAAUCCUUCUUUUACAGAUUUCAAACAUCACAUCCAAAAGUUUGUGGGCUUCUGUCCACCUGUAUACUGCAUUACAAAUGUGCUCUUUGUAUUGCUUAGAGAAAGGAUAAAUCACUUGUCUCGAUUUUGUGUUUUAACAGCAAUGGGACGGAGUACAAGUUAACCAAGGUAUCAAGAGCAAAUUACCUCAUCUUAAAAAUAUGUUAAUUAAUUGCAGCUUAACCUUACAUCGACCAAAUUAUGUGGAGGUGUUACAACCGUUUGUGGCUGAUGAUAUUCUGGAGGUAAUAUCAUGGACUGUAAGACAAGCUCAAAGAGUUUGGUGAUUCAGGAGUUCAAAACCUGUGGCAGAUUCUCUUCACAAAGGAGCUAUUUUGUGAUGAUGGAACUAUUACUCAGUGUAAAUAACACUUAUGUUUCCAGCUGUUUUGUAUGUAGUUCUAUAUUAUUUUAGUGUUCAGGAUCUGCUGAACCUAAGCAAACGAUUGCGAAGUGUCCAAUCUGUAUGACGUUGCAGUGAAGACGAAGGAGGGCCUUAGGAUAAGUAGUGAAAGACCUGUACUUCAAUCCUGGUCAUUUUAAUUUAAACACUGUAAUCUAGUAUCUAUAAAACUGAAAAGAUUAAGUUGCAAGCUAAAAUGGUGUAUACGAUAUUAUGGCACAGUUGCAGAAAGGGGCAGCUGCUAAUAUCUGCAGAGAUUGUAAAAUUACCUCUUGUCAAAUCAGCAAAACACUUGAAGACUUGAAAAGGAAGCUUACAUGAAGAUUGUUUUGUGAUUGGGUCAUGUUGCUGAAAAGUACCUCAUGUUGAAGUUCUGUACCGGGGGUAAGACCUUCUUUUCUUUUUUAGGUAU